rnacentral:rRNA from 1 species
GCGAGCUUGCCUAGAUGAAUUUGGUGCUUGCACCAAAUGAAACUAGAUACAAGCGAGCGGCGGACGGGUGAGUAACGCGUGGGUAACCCGCCCAAGAGACUGGGAUAACACCUGGAAACAGAUGCUAAUACCGGAUAACAACACUAGACGCAUGUCUAGAGUUUAAAAGAUGGUUCUGCUAUCACUCUUGGAUGGACCUGCGGUGCAUUAGCUAGUUGGUAAGGUAACGGCUUACCAAGGCAAUGAUGCAUAGCCGAGUUGAGAGACUGAUCGGCCACAUUGGGACUGAGACACGGCCCAAACUCCUACGGGAGGCAGCAGUAGGGAAUCUUCCACAAUGGACGCAAGUCUGAUGGAGCAACGCCGCGUGAGUGAAGAAGGGUUUCGGCUCGUAAAGCUCUGUUGGUAGUGAAGAAAGAUAGAGGUAGUAACUGGCCUUUAUUUGACGGUAAUUACUUAGAAAGUCACGGCUAACUACGUGCCAGCAGCCGCGGUAAUACGUAGGUGGCAAGCGUUGUCCGGAUUUAUUGGGCGUAAAGCGAGUGCAGGCGGUUCAAUAAGUCUGAUGUGAAAGCCUUCGGCUCAACCGGAGAAUUGCACCAGAAACUGUUGAACUUGAGUGCAGAAGAGGAGAGUGGAACUCCAUGUGUAGCGGUGGAAUGCGUAGAUAUAUGGAAGAACACCAGUGGCGAAGGCGGCUCUCUGGUCUGCAAC